rnacentral:rRNA from 4 species
UCCUGACUGACCGAUAGUGAACCAGUACCGUGAGGGAAAGGCGAAAAGAACCCCGGCGAGGGGAGUGAAAAAGAACCUGAAACCGUGUACGUACAAGCAGUGGGAGCACGCUUAGGCGUGUGACUGCGUACCUUUUGUAUAAUGGGUCAGCGACUUAUAUUCUGUAGCAAGGUUAACCGAAUAGGGGAGCCGAAGGGAAACCGAGUCUUAACUGGGCGUUAAGUUGCAGGGUAUAGACCCGAAACCCGGUGAUCUAGCCAUGGGCAGGUUGAAGGUUGGGUAACACUAACUGGAGGACCGAACCGACUAAUGUUGAAAAAUUAGCGGAUGACUUGUGGCUGGGGGUGAAAGGCCAAUCAAACCGGGAGAUAGCUGGUUCUCCCCGAAAGCUAUUUAGGUAGCGCCUCGUGAAUUCAUCUCCGGGGGUAGAGCACUGUUUCGGCA